rnacentral:rRNA from 1 species
CGUGUAGGUACGGGAGCUUGAUUGCAAGAUCUACCCAUCGAGCGGGGACGAAAAUUGGUCUUAGU